UACGUAGGGUGCAAGCGUUGUCCGGAAUUAUUGGGCGUAAAGAGCUUGUAGGCGGUUUGUCGCGUCUGCUGUGAAAUUUCGGGGCUCAACCCCGAACUUGCAGUGGGUACGGGCAGACUAGAGUGUGGUAGGGGAGACUGGAAUUCCUGGUGUAGCGGUGAAAUGCGCAGAUAUCAGGAGGUACACCGAUGGCGAAGGCAGGUCUCUGGGCCAUAACUGACGCUGAGAAGCGAAAGCAUGGGGAGCGAACAGG
rnacentral:rRNA from 1 species